CAGAGAGUAGUUUAGUUGAAAAUGCCAGCUUUGGGAGUUGGUGAUGAAGGUUUGAUUCCUUUCUCUUUGA
rnacentral:tRNA from 6 species